rnacentral:lncRNA from 10 species
GUGCUUUGAUUCCGUCCCCUUUCUUUCUCCAGCCGCAGAGGCGGCGCUGCUCCCCCAAAACGACACGCGCUUGGACCCCGAAGCCUAUGGCUCCCCGUGCGCGCGCGGCUCGCAGCCCUGGCAGGUCUCGCUCUUCAACGGCCUCUCGUUCCACUGCGCGGGUGUCCUGGUGGACCAGAGUUGGGUGCUGACGGCCGCGCACUGCGGAAACAAGCCACUGUGGGCUCGAGUAGGGGAUGACCACCUGCUGCUUCUUCAGGGAGAGCAGCUCCGCCGGACCACUCGCUCUGUUGUCCAUCCCAAGUACCACCAGGGCUCAGGCCCCAUCCUGCCAAGGCGAACGGAUGAGCACGAUCUCAUGUUGCUGAAGCUGGCCAGGCCCGUAGUGCUGGGGCCCCGCGUCCGGGCCCUGCAGCUUCCCUACCGCUGUGCUCAGCCCGGAGACCAGUGCCAGGUUGCUGGCUGGGGCACCACGGCCGCCCGGAGAGGCAAGAGCUGGGGCUCUGAGGCCGGAACCUCAGGAGGAGGGGGCUGAGGGCCUGAACCCCUGGGUCUGA